rnacentral:rRNA from 1 species
UACGUAGGGACCAAGCGUUGUUCGGAUUUACUGGGCGUAAAGGGCGCGUAGGCGGCGCGGUAAGUCACUUGUGAAAUCUCUGAGCUUAACUCAGAACGGCCAAGUGAUACUGCAGUGCUAGAGUGUGGAAGGGGCAAUCGGAAUUCUUGGUGUAGCGGUGAAAUGCGUAGAUAUCAAGAGGAACACCUGCGGCGAAGGCGGGUUGCUGGGCUGACACUGACGCUGAUGCGCGAAAGCUAGGGUAGCAAACGGG